AGCAAUUUGCUGUUUUCACCAGACUAAAUACGACAGAAAUUUAAAUACAGCCAUUCAGAAGCACAGAAUAGUGCACUUAGUGCACUCCAACAAAAUGAAAUUCCUGCCAUCAUUUUUCAAAUCUGCGUCAAGUCCUGCCAUCUCUAUUUGUCAUAUUAAACAUCUGAUUCAUACUGAA